rnacentral:rRNA from 1 species
GACGUAGGGCGCGAGCGUUGUCCGGAUUUAUUGGGCGUAAAGAGCUCGUAGGCGGUUUGUUGCGUCGGCUGUGAAAUCCCGAGGCUCAACCUCGGGUCUGCAGUCGAUACGAGCAAACUAGAGUGUUGCAGGGGAGACUGGAAUUCCUGGUGUAGCGGUGAAAUGCGCAGAUAUCAGGAGGAACACCGGUGGCGAAGGCGCCACUCUGGGCCGAAACUGACGCUGAGGAGCGAAAGCGUGGGUAGCAAACAGG